GAUCAUGGCUCAGGAUGAACGCUAGCGACAGGCUUAACACAUGCAAGUCGAGGGGCAGCACGGGAGUAGCAAUACAACUGGUGGCGACCGGCGCACGGGUGAGUAACGCGUAUGCAACCUACCUAUCAGAGGGGAAUAACCCGGCGAAAGUCGGACUAAUACCGCAUAAAACAGGGGCACCGCAUGGUGAUAUUUGUUAAAGAAAUUCGCUGAUAGAUGGGCAUGCGUUCCAUUAGGUAGUUGGUGAGGUAACGGCUCACCAAGCCGACGAUGGAUAGGGGAACUGAGAGGUUGGUCCCCCACACUGGUACUGAGACACGGACCAGACUCCUACGGGAGGCAGCAGUGAGGAAUAUUGGUCAAUGGGCGGGAGCCUGAACCAGCCAAGUCGCGUGAAGGAAGAAGGAUCUAUGGUUCGUAAACUUCUUUUGCAGGGGAAUAAAGUGCGGGACGUGUCCUGUUUUGUAUGUACCCUGAGAAUAAGGAUCGGCUAACUCCGUGCCAGCAGCCGC
rnacentral:rRNA from 1 species